rnacentral:rRNA from 1 species
GAUGAACGCUAGCUGCAGGCUUAACACAUGCAAGUCGAGGGACCGGCGCACGGGUGAGUAACACGUAUCCAACCUGCCCUUUACUCGGGGAUAGCCUUUCGAAAGAAAGAUUAAUACCCGAUGUAAAGGAUGGGGAUGCGUUCCAUUAGUUUGUUGGUGAGGUAAUGGCUAACCAAGCCUUCGAUGGAUAGGGGUUCGGAGAGGAAGGUCCCCCAGAGUGGAACUGCGACACAGUCCAAACUGCUACGGGAGGCAGCAGUGAGGAAUAUUGGUGAAUGGGCGUUAGCCUGACCCAGCCAAGUAGCGGGAAGGAUGAUUGCGUAUGGGUCGUAUAUUUCUUUUAUAGAAGAAUAUGUAUUAUAUGAAUAAGGAUCGGCUAACUCCGUGCCAGCAGCCGCGGUAAUUC